GAUGAACGCUGGCGGCGUGCCUAAUACAUGCAAGUCGAGCGAACAGACGAGGAGCUUGCUCCUCUGACGUUAGCGGCGGACGGGUGAGUAACACGUGGAUAACCUACCUAUAAGACUGGGAUAACUUCGGGAAACCGGAGCUAAUACCGGAUAAUAUAUUGAACCGCAUGGUUCAAUCGUGAAUGACGGUUUUGCUGUCACUUAUAGAUGGAUCCCCGCCGCAUUAGCUAGUUGGUAAGGUAACGGCUUACCAAGGCAACGAUGCGUAGCCGACCUGAGAGGGUGAUCGGCCACACUGGAACUGAGACACGGUCCAGACUCCUACGGGAGGCAGCAGUAGGGAAUCUUACGCAAUGGGCGAAAGCCUGACGGAGCAACGCCGCGUGAGUGAUGAAGGUCUUCGGAUCGUAAAACUCUGUUAUUAGGGAAGAACAAAUGUGUAAGUAACUAUGCACGUCUUGACGGUACCUAAUCAGAAAGCCACGGCUAACUACGUG
rnacentral:rRNA from 1 species